rnacentral:misc_RNA from 1 species
CGGAGUGUUCAUUUACUUGCAAUAAUGGCCAAAAGAACCCAAGCCAUCCUUCUUCUUCUCCUAGCAAUCUCACUGAUUAUGUCCAGCUCUCAUGUUGAUGGUGGUGGCAUUGCCAUUUACUGGGGUCAAAAUGGCAACGAAGGAACUCUAACACAAACAUGCUCCACACGCAAAUAUUCUUACGUGAAUAUAGCCUUUCUCAAUAAAUUUGGCAAUGGUCAAACCCCACAAAUCAACCUUGCCGGCCAUUGUAACCCGGCUGCUGGAGGUUGCACCAUUGUCAGCAAUGGCAUCAGGAGUUGCCAAAUCCAAGGAAUUAAGGUGAUGCUUUCUCUUGGCGGUGGGAUUGGAAGCUACACCCUGGCCUCUCAAGCUGAUGCAAAAAAACGUUGCAGACUAUUUGUGGAAUAAUUUCUUGGGUGGGAAAUCUUCUUCCCGUCCCUUAGGUGAUGCUGUAUUGGAUGGUAUUGAUUUUGACAUAGAGCAUGGUUCAACCCUGUACUGGGACGAUCUUGCACGUUACUUAUCUGCAUAUAGCAAGCAAGGCAAGAAGGUGUAUUUAACUGCAGCUCCUCAAUGUCCAUUCCCUGAUAGAUAUUUAGGGACUGCCCUUAAUACUGGUCUUUUUGACUAUGUAUGGGUUCAAUUCUAUAACAAUCCACCAUGCCAGUAUAGCUCAGGUAACAUUAACAACAUCAUUAACUCGUGGAAUCGAUGGACCACAUCUAUAAAUGCAGGGAAAAUAUUUUUGGGGUUGCCGGCAGCUCCUGAGGCAGCCGGAAGCGGAUAUGUUCCACCGGAUGUGCUGAUUUCUCGGAUUCUUCCUGAAAUAAAGAAGUCACCUAAGUACGGAGGUGUUAUGCUUUGGUCAAAGUUCUACGAUGAUAAGAAUGGCUAUAGUUCCUCCAUUCUGGAUAGUGUAUUGUUCCUCCAUUCUGAAAAGUGUAUGACACUUUGAAUUGGGAGAAAUUAUUCGGUGCACUCGGUGCAUAUGCACUAUCUCUUAUAAUUAUGUGUGAUCUAUUCUUUAUAUUAUAAUAAGGAGAGUGCACUUUUCUGUGAAAGAGGGAGUACUAUGUUUUAGUACUCUCGGUGUAUCUAAUAAUUAGGCUUGAAUAAAUAAUGUUUUGCUUGGCCUAAAUUGAUGUGAGUUACCUCUUUAAAGUAAAUUAUAUAAAAUAAUAUAAGUCUUUAACAAUUAAUAAUAAACAAAAAUCUUAGAAACUCCUUAUUAGUGUUGUUUGGUUGUCUCCCCUUGUCGAUCUGUGUGGCUCAAGUUCAAACAACUUAAUACAUAAUGGUCUUCAAUCAAAAGCCCUCUCGCUGAAGCACAGACUCACGGAGGCGGAAUCAGAG